UACGGAGGGUGCGAGCGUUGUCCGGAAUCACUGGGCGUAAAGGGCGCGUAGGCGGCCUGAUAAGUAGGGGGUGAAAUCCUGAGGCUUAACCUCAGGGCUGCCUUCUAAACUGUCAGGCUCGAGCACAGUAGAGGCAGGUGGAAUUCCCGGUGUAGCGGUGGAAUGCGUAGAGAUCGGAAAGAACACCAACGGCGAAAGCACUCUGCUGGGCCGACACUGACACUGAGAGACGAAAGCUAGGGGAGCAAAUGGG
rnacentral:rRNA from 1 species